CCACGUGGUACACACUGCAGGAAUAGAACAGCCGCUUACUCAGUCUGUCUUCUUCUGAUGGGCACUUGGCUUAUUUCUAAACCUCCAUUUCAAGUUACGAUUCGGUGUAACUGCUUACCCCAACAUGAGCUUCCUCCAUUGCUACCUGACAUCAUCAUCCAUCAUGGGACUCUCACCAUAAAUACUGCUGUGUAUGCAUCACACCCUUGCACCUCCAAAACUGUAAGAUGGGAGUCUGCAUAGCUGUCUCCUGAGAGGUUCCACCCAGCAGCAGAUGGAAACAGAUGCUGAGACUCACAGACAAACAUCAGGCAAAGUGUAAGGAGACUUGUGAAAAAGAACCUGAAGGAG